rnacentral:rRNA from 1 species
UGAACGCUGGCGGCGUGCCUAAUACAUGCAAGUCGAGCGAACAGACAAGGAGCUUGCUCCUUUGACGUUAGCGGCGGACGGGUGAGUAACACGUGGGUAACCUACCUAUAAGACUGGGAUAACUUCGGGAAACCGGAGCUAAUACCGGAUAAUAUUUCGAACCGCAUGGUUCGAUAGUGAAAGAUGGUUUUGCUAUCACUUAUAGAUGGACCCGCGCCGUAUUAGCUAGUUGGUAAGGUAACGGCUUACCAAGGCGACGAUACGUAGCCGACCUGAGAGGGUGAUCGGCCACACUGGAACUGAGACACGGUCCAGACUCCUACGGGAGGCAGCAGUAGGGAAUCUUCCGCAAUGGGCGAAAGCCUGACGGAGCAACGCCGCGUGAGUGAUGAAGGUCUUCGGAUCGUAAAACUCUGUUAUUAGGGAAGAACAUACGUGUAAGUAACUAUGCACGUCUUGACGGUACCUAAUCAGAAAGCCACGGCUAACUACGUGCCAGCAGCCGCGGUAAUACGUAGGUGGCAAGCGUUAUCCGGAAUUAUUGGGCGUAAAGCGCGCGUAGGCGGUUUUUUAAGUCUGAUGUGAAAGCCCACGGCUCAACCGUGGAGGGUCAUUGGAAACUGGAAAACUUGAGUGCAGAAGAGGAAAGUGGAAUUCCAUGUGUAGCGGUGAAAUGCGCAGAGAUAUGGAGGAACACCAGUGGCGAAGGCGACUUUCUGGUCUGUAACUGACGCUGAUGUGCGAAAGCGUGGGGAUCAAACAGGAUUAGAUACCCUGGUAGUCCACGCCGUAAACGAUGAGUGCUAAGUGUUAGGGGGUUUCCGCCCCUUAGUGCUGCAGCUAACGCAUUAAGCACUCCGCCUGGGGAGUACGACCGCAAGGU